rnacentral:rRNA from 1 species
UACGAAGGGUGCAAACGUUGCUCGGAAUUAUUGGGCGUAAAGCGCACGUAGGCGGCUUCGCAAGUCGGAUGUGAAAUCCCUCGGCUCAACCAAGGAAGUGCAUCCGAAACUGCAAAGCUUGAGUACCAAAGAGGAUCGCGGAAUUCCCGGUGUAGCGGUGAAGUGCGCAGAUAUCGGGAGGAACACCAGUGGCGAAGGCGGCACUCUGGGCCGGAACUGACGCUGAGGAGCGAAAGCUAGGGGAGCAAACGGG